rnacentral:tmRNA from 1 species
GGGGCUGCUUGGUUUUGACAGCAGGCAGAAAGGAUAUGUAAGCAUGUCGAGCUAUGAGAAAACAGCUCGUUAAUCUCGGGUCUCAAACAACUAACUGGCGAAAACAACUACGCUCUUGCUGCUUAAUCGAAUCAUAGUAGAUAAAGCUUAAUCCCGAUACAAGGUAUUGGGACGAGACAUUUCCCAAAGGCCGUGGCUUCGAGGCCGAUGAUCAGGAAGUGCAGCUAAAUCGAAGAUAGUUACGGUUUGCCUUGAAGCCGCGAUGAAAACUUAAAGGAUAAGGCGCAGAUGGGUGGCUUCGGUCUUGCCUGUGCACGAAAACCAAAGCGAAGAUAAACAUGUAGAAAGCUUAUUGUUUCCUUGUUUGGACGAGGGUUCGACUCCCUCCAGCUCCACUU